UCUUCUCUUUGCAACUCUUAACGCACGACUCUCUCUCUCUCUUUCUCUCUGUCGUUCCUUCUCAGUUUCCCAUAUCCAGCUCUCUCUCCUUCCCUCGCUCUCUCGGCUUCUUUCUCUCUCAGCAACACAAUUCCCCCACUUGAGAGUCGAAGCGGAAGGAAGAGAGCUACCCAUUUCGUUCCGCCGCAUAAAGAUCGAAGCUUCUCUAAUCUUCCAAUCAGCUUGAGGAAAAGAACAUUCUCUACGCUCUUCUAGCUUUGCUUCGGUUUAAUCUCGAAAAUGGGUGUGAACUCUGCCGUGAAGAACCAGCACAUUAAUAUCCCGCCGCAAGGUGGCUCCAAAUGCUUCGACGACGACGGUCGUCUCAAACGCACAGGGACGGUAUGGACAGCGAGCGCUCACAUAAUCACGGCAGUGAUUGGCUCCGGAGUCCUGUCCCUGGCUUGGGCCACUGCGCAGCUCGGCUGGAUUGCUGGUCCGGCUGUCAUGCUCCUGUUCGCCUUGGUCACUUACUACACCUCCACCCUCCUCGCCACCUGUUACUGCUCCACCCCAUCAAUGGCAGGCGCAACUACACCUACAUGGAUGCUGUCAGCGCCAAUCUCGGUGGGUUCAAAGUCAAGCUUUGUGCGCUGAUUCAGUCCGUGACCGUCUUCGGGGUUGCCGUCAGUUACACCAUUGCUUCUUCUAUUCGCCUGGCGUGAGUAUAUUUUCAGUGAAAAUUCUUGUGAUUGUUAUUUCACCCGUGUCAAAAGUGACGCGAGUUGGAUUGAAUUU